GAAAACACACCCUCUCUAACUCUCUAAUUAACAACUGUUCACAGGAAAAUUGCUCACUGCUGCAGGGCUAGAUAAGUGUCAGCCCAAAGUUAGAGAAAUUGCACAAGCGACACGUUCCAAUUCAAUUAUUUUGUUCUCACUCAGCCAAGUCAUUGAUGUCUGAUCAUUGUGCCUGGUGGAUGUUGAUAGAAUGGGACCGAUUUCUCCCUGGAUUGGACCAAGAUCACGAGCAGCUUCUGGAUUGUGACUUAAGGGACAAAAGAGUUAACAAGGAGGAGCUGUCAUCCUACCUUGACUCAGAAUGGACAAGACCAGCUCAGCAACAUCAGGAACUGGCUGUGAAGACCUUUCCCAGAGUUGUGGCUUUGGAAAGGAAGUCUGCUUUCUAAGAUGAAUGACCAAGGGUUUGGCUAAAAUCCAGGUUCAUGAAAUUGAAGCAGCAGCUUCACAAUCCCCAGGGACCGAAUGGGAGAGAGGGCAGGAGGCAGGCAGGUGUCUUGCCUGAAGACGGAAGCGAUUCUCACUGGAGAAAUAAAGAAAUUCCAAGAACCAUCACUUUUGCUUUAAGAGGAGCCUUAGAGCUGAAUGAGGACAACAGCCCCAUUUUAGAGAAGAAG
rnacentral:lncRNA from 1 species